ACUGAAAUAAAAACCCAUAAUCUGACUCCAAUACCCAUUAGCCCAUAAUUUCUAUGUCUAUCAUCUUGCAACGCUUUGAAGAGGAACGUCAAUCACAUGUUGAUUGAGACUAUUUGAGAGAGAAGAUCCAAUAACAGGGAUUACUUCAAGCAAUGAAGGAUGUGUUUCCUGAAUCACAUCACAGAUUUUGUGCGAAACAUGUUGAAGCAAACUGGUGCAAAACAUGGAGGUCAGAAGAACUGCAGAAGGUAUUUUGGUGGUGUUCAUGGACCACAUAUGAGGAAGAUUUCAAAGACAAACUCAAUAUGAUUGGUUCUUUAGAUAAAAACAACAGCUCAGGAGUUACUGAAAUAUCCUCCCAAUGUGUGGUGUAGAGCUUAUUUUGACAUCGUGUGCAAGACUAUGAAGUGGUGAAUAAUUUCACAGAAUCGGUGAAUAAAUGGAUUCUAGAAGCUAGAGGCAAACCAAUCAUCAAAAUGCUUGAAGAAAUAAGAACUAAAGUCAUGAACCAAUUGAGGAAAAGGGAGGAUGAAGUGAGAUUAUGGGCUACUGAGUUUAGCCCAAAGAGUGUGCAAUUGUUCAAUGACUACAUGAAAAUCGCUCAAAAAUGUAAGGUAAAUUUCAAUGGUGAUUAUGGAUAUGAGAUCACAGAAGGUUGUGAUAGGCAUACUUUAAAUAUGAUUUUGAAGAGAUGUACAUGUAGGCAAUGGGAUCUAAAUGGAAUUCCAUGCCCACAUGCAAUUUCUGCAAUGUUGUACAACAAGUUGGACCCUUCGAGUGAAAUGAGUUGGUCGUGUAGAAAGAGGCAUUCCUGCGUACCUAUAGGCACAAAUUGCAACUUGUUAGAAGUGAAAAUUUUUGGAAGGUGGAUCUACAUCAAGCAAUGGAACCACGUCACCUAGUGAAGAUGGUUGGCGGACCCAAAACUAAGCGGGUCAGAAAAAUAUGAGGCAAUUAAGAGGCAAGGCGAGUGGGCAAGUUCAAGAAAGGGGAGAGUUAUGACAUAUAACAAUUGUGGAGAGCCAAACCACAACAGUAAAGGAUGUAAAAAGCCUGUCAAUACAAGGCCAAUGAAAAUGAGCAGAAAAUUAAUUGAUGAACCUGAAGAGAUAAAUCUAAUAGCACCUCAAUUAAGACCAAGCAUUUCAAGUCAGAUUCCAAAUUGAGUUAUUUGAAACUUCAAAGCAAAGAUCAAGCAAGCCAGAUGAUACAUUGCAACAUACCAUUCAUCCAAAUUUGACAAUCAACUUCCCAAAUCAUGAUUCAGAUCCUACUAUAAGGCCAAUGAUAGUGUCAGAAAACACAAUAUUCCAAGCCAGGCAAGAGGGACCAAUUCCUUCAUGAACAAGGAUUAUAAACUUUGUUGGUGAUCACAAUGGAGUGAAUGUCCCUUCAAAUCUUCCCUACUCACCAACCAACCUAACAUGGAAGGGAAAAGCUGCUAUAACUCAAGGUCAAUUGGAGAUGCAAAAUAGACAAAAAAUUAAGAAGCUGAAGCCAAGAAAAGGACAAAAGUGAUCUAUUGGGUUGAAAACUUUUUUUUGUCAUGGGGUUUAAUUACUGAUUAUGAUGAACUUUUUAGUUAAUGUCUUUUCAGUUUACUCUUUUUUGUGGUAAACGUUGAAGAUGAAUAUCACAUUUAUCCCACUUUUGUGUAUCAAAAUAUGUGUUUGUAUUUGUGCACAAACAAAAAGAGAAUUAAAUAUUUUUCAUGCAUUAGAUUCAGUGUAAAAAGUGCUUUCAUAGCCUCAAUUAA